UUGCGCCUGCGGCAGAUCAGGCACGGGUCUUUAUAGCUCUUCGCAGGCAGACGACCCGUGUACGGUCCUGUAUAUCCAAGAAUUUUCUUGGAUUUAAUGAUUUCU
rnacentral:sRNA from 1 species